rnacentral:rRNA from 1 species
CCUACGGGUGGCAGCAGUGAGGAAUAUUGGUCAAUGGACGAGAGUCUGAACCAGCCAAGUAGCGUGAAGGAUGACUGCCCUAUGGGUUGUAAACUUCUUUUAUAUGGGAAUAAAAUGUUCCACGUGUGGGAUUUUGUAUGUACCAUAUGAAUAAGGAUCGGCUAACUCCGUGCCAGCAGCCGCGGUAAUACGGGGGAUCCGAGCGUUAUCCGGAUUUAUUGGGGUAAAAGGGAGCGUAGGUGGAUUGUUAAGUCAGUUGUGAAAGUUUGCGGCUCAACCGUAAAAUUGCAGUUGAAACUGGCAGUCGUGAGUACAGUAGAGGUGGGCGGAAUUCGUGGUGUAGCGGUGAAAUGCUUAGAUAUCACGAAGAACUCCGAUUGCGAAGGCAGCUCACUGGACUGCAACUGACACUGAGGCUCGAAAGUGUGGGUAUCAAACAGGAUUAGAUACCCUAGUAGUC